UGCUUAUAUAGGCGCUGUCGGGCAACCGACUAUGGCAGUAAACGGUGCGUGGAAUAGGCAUUAUGGACCCGGGGGCGGUACCCGGCGCCUCCACCAUCAGCGAUUGAAGCCCAUAAAGCAUAUAGGCCGGGGAAGCGAUCGCUGCUGAUGGGGGCGAAAUAGGAUCGACAUGUGCUCAAAGGCGAUACUUUCUGCUCGGUAUGGUACCACCGUGAUGGGCCAAAUUCACAAAUGCCAAUGAUAACGAGGCAUUUGCUGUUGCAGCGUAAUUAAGACCUAGCGGUCAAGAUUGCAGAGCAAUCAGCACGGUAAUCAGGGGUGCACCGGGUAACAGAAGCAUUCCCGCGGUUCGGAGGGCAC
rnacentral:tmRNA from 1 species